UACAGGGGGGGCAAGCGUUGUUCGGAAUUACUGGGCGUAAAGGGUUCGUAGGUGGCCAACUAAGUCAGACGUGAAAUCCCUCAGCUUAACUGGGGAACUGCGUCUGAUACUGGAUGGCUUGAGUGUAGGAGAGGAAUGCGGAAUUCCAGGUGUAGCGGUGAAAUGCGUAGAUAUCAGGAGGAACACCGGUGGUGUAGACGGCUUUCUGGACCGACACUGACGCUGAAACACGAAAGCGUGGGUAGCAAACAGG
rnacentral:rRNA from 1 species